UACGGGGGGGGCAAGCGUUGUUCGGACUUACUGGGCGUAAAGGGCUCGUAGGUGGCCAACUAAGUCAGACGUGAAAUCCCUCGGCUUAACCGGGGAACUGCGUCUGAUACUGGAUGGCUUGAGUUUGGGAGAGGGAUGCGGAAUUCCAGGUGUAGCGGUGAAAUGCGUAGAUAUCUGGAGGAACACCGGUGGCGAAGGCGGCAUCCUGGACCAACACUGACACUGAUGAGCGAAAGCCAGGGGAGCAAACGGG
rnacentral:rRNA from 1 species